UCCUCCGCUUGAUCAGCCCACAGCAGUGAGCAGCGGUUCUCACUAGCAAAAAUACUUCCUUGGUUGCUAUUGAUUCCAUGUCUUUCUCUCAGUUUUUUUUCCAGAGAGUGAGAUCAUAUAGUUGCUUACCAACACUAUGGAAUUGAAACUCUCUUUGGGGGCUCUCAAGGACAUAGCUUGUUCUUAUUUGGGAGUGAGAAAUCCUCUCUAUGCUGAUUAUAUCGAGCUCUAUGCUUCAGUGUCAACAAAUCCAGGAGCAACAUUAUAGGUCCUCAGCCAGCCUUUGGAGGCCAUAGUUAAGAAGGUGGCAGGAAGAACUGAAGCUGAAUCAAGACUGGCCUGAGAGAUGGCAGGGAAUUUCAGAAUUCAAACAUGGCUAGAAACUCUUUGUGGGCCAGAAACAAUGGGAAAGGGUGCUACACUGCUGCCCGGGAACACCCUAAAGUCAUUCUCCAGCAACGCCAUCACAACACCAUUGGGCCUGGCUUUGAAGUUGCACACAGCCCCAGCAAGUCCUGAGCAUUGGCAAUAGACUCCACUGAAUGUCACCCAGUAAUUUCCAGUCGAUAGCCUGUGCUUUUAACAGCUCCACUACAUUAAGAAUUAUGUACAUAUACCAGCGGCAAUCCACAAAUGCCUAACAAGACUUCCAUUUGAAAUGAACUGUAUCAUGUUUGUUUUUAUUUGCCAACCUUCAUGUAAGCUGGCACAAUCAGCUAAUAUUGGCAAAAUAUGAG